AGGAAGCGCUACAAAUUGAAUCAAAAAGUGAUGCGUGGUCUUUUUUAGAACCUUGAGUCGGGUAUGGCGUGGUCAUCGCGGCAACUCUCAACCAGUUUACUUCAAACUGUUGCUCUUUUGCAUGAUCAGACCUGAUGAAUCGGGUUGUUUGUAGAAGUGCAAGGUGUGCUGUCCAAGUGGAUUAACAUGGCAUGAUGAAUUGGGCUGUUCGUGGAAGUCCAGGGUGUACGGAGUUGUCGAAGUGGCUUAACAUGACAAGAUGAUUGGGGCUCCUUGUAGAAGCGCUGGGUGUGCAGAGGAGUCCAAGUGGAUUAACAUGACAUGAUGAAUUUGGACUGCUUGUAGAGUUGCAGCGUGUACAGAGGUGUUGAAGUGGCUUCACAUGAAGCCAGAGCUGAUGGGCACAUAAAGGCAUAUGAAGUUGGAAGUUCCAUCUACCAGAAUGUGAAACUGCCUAGGAUGUAGAUAAAAUUCACAUUUUAUUUAAAUGCAUGUAUUGAAUAAAAUAUGGAAUUGUA